rnacentral:rRNA from 1 species
ACUCAAAUGAAUUGACGGGGAGGCACACAACCAGUGGAACAUGUGGUUCAAUUCGAUACGAACCGAAGAACCUCACCAGGGUUUGACAUCUAAGCGUUCUAUCUCUAUGAAAGUAGAGAAAUCCGUAAGGAGGCUUGGACAGGUGCUGCAUGGCUGUCGUCAGUUCGUUCCGUGAGGAGUGCCCUUAAGUGGGACAACGAACGCAACCCCCAUCUUGUGUUAUAUAUGUCACAAGAGACUGCCCGAGCUUUGCUCGGGAGGAAGGAGGGGCAGACGUCAAGUCAGCAUGGUCCUUAUACCCUGGGCUACACACAUGUUACAAUGAACAACAACAAUGAGCCUUGCUAGCACGUAAGUGCAUGCCAAUCUCAUAAAUUUGUUCUCAGUGGGGAUUGAGGUCUGAAACUCGACCUCAUGAACAUGGAAUUGGUAGUAAUCGCGAAUCAGCUACGUCGCGGUGAAUACGUUCUUGCCUCUUGCACACACCGCCCGU